GCUCCACUAGCUCAGUCGGUAGAGCGUCAGUCUCAUAAUCUGAAGGUCGACAGUUCGAACCUGCCGUGGAGCA
rfam:Wickerhamomyces ciferrii, NRRL Y-1031 F-60-10, WGS project CAIF01000000 data, contig: 00164